UACGGAGGGUGCGAGCGUUGUCCGGAUUUAUUGGGUUUAAAGGGUGCGUAGGUGACUUGUUAAGUCAGUGGUGAAAUACAGCCGCUCAACGGUUGAGGUGCCAUUGAUACUGACAAGCUUGAAACAAGUGGAGGUUGCCGGAAUGGAUGGUGUAGCGGUGAAAUGCAUAGAUAUCAUCCAGAACACCGAUUGCGAAGGCAGGUGACUACGUUUGAUUUGACACUGAGGCACGAAAGCAUGGGGAGCAAACAGG
rnacentral:rRNA from 1 species